ensembl:lncRNA
GUCACGUGUGUAAAGGAUGUGAGCAAACUAUAGGUUGUUGGUUAGAAGAGGCUGAAAGACGAGAACGAAAGCAAAUGCAGAAAGAAUUGGCAUGUAGGGAUGAAAUGAAAAAAAAAAAAAUGAAAGAGAAUGUGUGUGAGAAAACCGCUCCACCGGAGCAGAAUGCUACUAAUGAAAAGUGUGUUUGUGUUUUCCAAUAUGCACCCGAGAUCGGGUCAGCACCGCCGGCUUAUAAACAUCACUACCCCGUGGCAGAGCUGACAGCCCUGAAACUGGACCACGAUCUCGACUGCUCUCCGUUCCAAAGACCAGCACAAAAUGCAGCACGAGUAGCAGCACAAGCAGCAGCACGAGCAGAAGCAGAAGCGAGAGGAGCACGAGCAGCGGCAGACGCAGCAGUGCACAUGCUACAAGCCUCAGCGCUCGCUGCCACAGACAGCGAAGAAGAAAGGGAGGACGAAGAACAGGAAGUUUUCGGGGACGCGUCUGAAAUGGUUCCCAGCACAACUAAUUCAGAAAGGCCGAGCACCAGCAGGCCGAGAGUGACAAGAUCAAAGACGAUUAAAAGUGGAAAGAUCAGCGUCACAGCUUUGAAAGACACAUCGCAGAACAUAACAGCUCCGAUGGUCAAAGUGGCGGGUCCAGAUGGGCCAAUGCUGGUUUUUAGAGCUUGGACAUUGUCUGAUAUGAGAGACGUGAUGGCACAUCUACCAGAUCCGCAGGACGCGGGCGAAAAGUUUGCGAAAGAACUGCUUUUACUGUGCCAAGAGUUCAGCCCGACUUCACAAGAACUGAGACGGAUGCUGGGUGUAAAAAUGGGUCCAGCGAACUGGCAUAAGGUGAGCGGAAAACUGGCGACAACGGACGUGAGACGUGUGCACACAGAAUGGGACCAUGCGAGCAACGAACCAUACAGGAAAGAAGUGGAAAAUUUCACUAACGCAGUAAGCGCAGCAUUUCCUCCACGUGUGGACACUGAAAAGAUUACAUGCUGCACUCAGGAGAAGGAUGAGUCUGUCAGCAGCUAUUAUUACAGACUUUUUGAAACAUUUGAAAAACACAGCGGCUUGACAGAGCCUACGGACAGAGGGAACAAACCAAGUACGUGGGAAAGCCUUCUAUUGAGUUAUUUUCUGAAAGGACUGAGACCAGAAAUUUCAAGGGGAACAAAGGCAAGUUACGUGGAGUGGAAGAACGGGCGCUUAACCUCAGCCCUGAUGCACGCUAUACACG